rnacentral:rRNA from 1 species
CCUACGCGAGGCAGCAGUAGGGAAUAUUGGACAAUGGGCGAAAGCCUGAUCCAGCCAUGCCGCGUGAGUGAUGAAGGCCUUCGGGUCGUAAAACUCUUUUCUGAGGGAAGAACCAUUUGCGUAGGAAAUGACGCAGAUCUGACGGUACCUCAGGAAUAAGCAACGGCUAACUCCGUGCCAGCAGCCGCGGUAAUACGGAGGUUGCGAGCGUUGUUCGGAAUAACUGGGCGUAAAGGGAGCGCAGGCGGCCUGACAAGUCUAAGGGGAAAGCCCGGGGCUUAACCUCGGAAGUGCUUUGGAUACUAUCAGGCUCGAGUUCGGGAGAGGAAAGCGGAAUUCCAGGUGUAGCGGUGAAAUGCGUAGAUAUCUGGAGGAACACCGGUGGCGAAAGCGGCUUUCUGGCACGAUACUGACGCUGAGGCUCGAAAGCAUGGGGAGCGAACA